AGGACGAACGCUGGCGGCGUGCUUAACACAUGCAAGUCGAGCGGUAAGGCCUUUCGGGGUACACGAGCGGCGAACGGGUGAGUAACACGUGAGUAAUCUGCCCUUCACUCUGGGAUAAGCACUCGAAAGGGUGUCUAAUACCGGAUACGACCGUCCCUCGCAUGAGGUGGUGGUGGAAACUUUUGUGGGUGGGGGAUGUGCUCGCGGCCUAUCAGCUUGUUGGUGGGUAAUGGCCUACCAAGGCUUCGACGGGU
rnacentral:rRNA from 1 species